rnacentral:misc_RNA from 1 species
GGAAGUAAAAGCGUAACAAGGUUUCCGUAGGUGAACCUGCGGAAGGAUCAUUACUGAGUGAGGGCCCUCUGGGUCCAACCUCCCACCCGUGUUUAUUGUACCUUGUUGCUUCGGUGCGCCCGCCUCACGGCCGCCGGGGGGCUUCUGCCCCCGGGUCCGCGCGCACCGGAGACACUAUUGAACUCCGUCUGAAGAUUGCAGUCUGAGCAUAAACUAAAUAAGUUAAAACUUUCAACAACGGAUCUCUUGGUUCCG